rnacentral:lncRNA from 1 species
AGGAACUUUCCAACAAUAUUCCCGUUGGAUUACUUUGAUUAGGUGGAAAAUAUAUCAAUUCAAAUAGCAUUGCAAUGAAACCAUUAGAAUAAUAUACAGUAUAUAUUUUUUAAUUAGAUCAACAAUAAUAACAUUUGAAAUUGCAAGAAGAACUAAUUAUACUUUAUAACCUAACUUUUGGGCUUAAAUAUAAAAAUCGAAUGAUUUCCCCCUCCCCCCAAAAAAAAGAAAAAAAAACUUUAGCUUUUCAAAAAAA